AAGAGUCGGAUGAAUCAUC
rnacentral:snRNA from 1 species